CUUUUCGACCAAAUCACCCGGAACACGUUCCAUCUCGUCAAAUAUAUCGGAAGCUAAGCAGUGUUGAGACUGGAUAGUGCUCGGAUGGGUGACCACCGGGAUUUGCCAGGUGUUGUAGGCA
rnacentral:rRNA from 1 species